ACCUGACUGCUAUCGGAUUGAUACUAAGCCAUGCGAGUCAUUGUAGCAAUACAAGGCAUACGGCUCAGUAACGCGUAGUCAACCUAACCUAUGGACGGGAAUAACCUCGGGAAACUGAGAAUAAUGCCCGAUAGAACACUAUACCUGGAAUGGUUUGUGUUCCAAAUGAUUUAUCGCCAUAGGAUGGGACUGCGGCCUAUCAGUUUGUUGGUGAGGUAAUGGCCCACCAAGACUAUUACAGGUACGGGCUCUGAGAGGAGUAGCCCGGAGAUGGGUACUGAGACACGGACCCAGGCCCUAUGGGGCGCAGCAGGCGAGAAAACUUUGCAAUGUGCGAAAGCACGACAAGGUUAAUCCGAGUGAUUUGUGCUAAACGAAUCUUUUGUUAGUCCUAGAGACACUAACGAAUAAGGGGUGGGCAAGUUCUGGUGUCAGCCGCCGCGGUAAAACCAGCACCUCAAGUGGUCAGGAUGAUUAUUGGGCCUAAAGCAUCCGUAGCCGGCUCUGUAAGUUUUCGGUUAAAUCUGUACGCUUAACGUACAGGCUGCCGGGAAUACUGCAAAGCUAGGGAGUGGGAGAGGUAGACGGUACUCGGUAGGAAGUGGUAAAAUGCUUUGAUCUAUCGAUGACCACCUGUGGCGAAGGCGGUCUACCAGAACACGUCCGACGGUGAGGGAUGAAAGCUGGGGGAGCAAACCGGAUUAGAUACCCGGGUAGUCCCAGCUGUAAACUAUGCAAACUCAGUGAUGCAUUGGCUUGUGGCCAAUGCAGUGCUGCAGGGAAGCCGUUAAGUUUGCCGCCUGGGAAGUACGUACGCAAGUAUGAAACUUAAAGGAAUUGGCGGGGGAGCACCACAAGGGGUGAAGCCUGCGGUUC
rnacentral:rRNA from 1 species